UAGCUCAGUUGGGAGAGCACAAGGCUGGCAGUCUUGGGGUCAGGGGUUCGAAUCCCCU
rnacentral:tRNA from 1 species